rnacentral:rRNA from 1 species
AUUGAACGCUGGCGGCAGGCCUAACACAUGCAAGUCGAGCGGAGCGGCGGACGGGUGAGUAAUGCCUAGGAAUCUGCCUGGUAGUGGGGGAUAACGUCCGGAAACGGGCGCUAAUACCGCAUACUAGUAGAUGGACCUGCGUUGUAUUAGCUAGUAGGUAGGGUAAUGGCCUACCUAGGCAACGAUACAUAGCCGACAUGAGAGGAUGACCAGCCACACUGGAACGGAGACACGGUCCAGAGGCCUACGGGAGGCAGCAGUGGGGAAUAUUGCACAAUGGGCGCAAGCCUGAUGCAGCCAUGCCGCGUGUAUGAAGAAGGCCUUCGGGUUGUAAAGUACUUUCAGCGAGGAGGCGUUACGCGCAGAAGAAGCACCGGCUAACUCCGUGCCAGCCGCCGCGGUAAUAC